rnacentral:Y_RNA from 1 species
GACUUGUCUGAGCGCUGUAGGGUUUGCAAGUAAUUGAUCACAAGCAGUUACAGAUUUCUUUGUUCCUUUUCUACUCCCAUUGCGUCACUUGGUUAGCCUAAG